rnacentral:tRNA from 1 species
AACGACUAGCUCAUUGGUAGAGCAUUAGAUGGUCAAUCUAAGGGUAGUGGGUUCAACUCCCACGUCGUUUCCA